GCGCUUGGCGAAUUCACAGGCCCUAUCUUGUGGUAUGAACUGGGUACGCGAUGAUUUGCACUGCGUAUUGGGGGCUUACCAUAAGAUAAUGCCAUGAAUUUGUCAAGCGU
rfam:Oryza sativa Japonica Group DNA, chromosome 3, cultivar: Nipponbare, complete sequence.